rnacentral:rRNA from 1 species
CCUACGGGAGGCAGCAGUGGGGAAUAUUGCACAAUGGGGGAAACCCUGAUGCAGCAACGCCGCGUGAGUGAUGACGGCCUUCGGGUUGUAAAGCUCUGUCUUUGGGGACGAUAAUGACGGUACCCAAGGAGGAAGCCACGGCUAACUACGUGCCAGCAGCCGCGGUAAU